UACGGAGGGUGCAAGCGUUAUCCGGAUUCACUGGGUUUAAAGGGUGCGUAGGCGGGCAGUUAAGUCAGUGGUGAAAUCCUUGAGCUCAACUCGAGAACUGCCAUUGAUACUAUCUGUCUUGAAUAUUGUGGAGGUAAGCGGAAUAUGUCAUGUAGCGGUGAAAUGCUUAGAUAUGACAUAGAACACCUAUUGCGAAGGCAGCUUACUACGCAUAUAUUGACGCUGAGGCACGAGAGCGUGGGGAUCAAACAGG
rnacentral:rRNA from 1 species